rnacentral:lncRNA from 1 species
GAGAUGGUCGAAUUUGAUCAAUAUCUGGCCAAUCUGAAGAUGGUCGGCCUUGAGAUAGUGGCAUUAGAGCAACAUGAAUGGGCUUGGGUCCUUCCUCUAGUGCUAAUCUUUUGCCGCUAGUCUUCUAGCUGUGGUCCCCUUGGUCGGAGAAAUGAUGUGGAAGGUAGCGAAGGCUUGACUUGCAAAAUAAGUCUUCGAUCGGAGUUCUCUACGGUAGAGACCCUCUAGUGCUUAAGUCAAAAA